AGGUUGGACUAGGUAAUCUUGGAGGUCUCUUCCAACCUAGAUAAUUCUGUGAUUCUCUGAUUUCAAAUGGAGCAUCUCAUACCUGUAACACAAGUCUACCUCGACUACCUUUGUACUGAAUUAAACACAAGUUUUGAGUAUUUUUGAAUAUUCAUCAACAAAGCUUUAAGUAGUAGGAUCUUAGCUAUCUUGCAGAUAUCCACUGGAAAAUGAACAAGCUCCUCUGAGCACUCCAUAGAAGUGUAAAUAGGCUGGCAAAUUCUGGGCUUUAAAAAAUAUAGGACUUGAGCUGAUAAAACUUGUUCCCCUCAGAAGUUCAGAGGCUAGAUCUGUCAUUAAGGUUUAUCAGUUUUUUCAGGGUUUUUCCCCAAGGAUCUAAAAGAUUCUAUUUACAGUGAAUAGAGCUUUUGGAGAGUAACAGAGAAAGCCAAGAAUUAUUUCUUCAGUAUCAAUCUAGCAAAAUUAUACGUUAUAACAUUUGAACACAGUACCUAGGAUUAUGGAUGAGCAUAUAGUCAACAGAAGAAAUACAGCAUGGAAUUGCAGAAAAAAAAAUUAGAGAGGUGACUACAGCACAUUCUUAGGACAGGAUUAAACACUCCUUUGCAAAUAAGAAAUCUGGUGUAACAGCUAGACAGGUCUUACUCCAUGAGAAGAGUCAACAAGAAAAACAUAAAGGAGACUAAACUUCAUGACUGAGAAAUUAAGAGGAAGGCAUAUGGGGAGAAUAUUUGCUCUGAAUCUACUUUAGCAAUAGUUAAUUGAGAAAUGAGUAUUGUGCCAUUCUUCAUUAGUUCCAGCUUCACCCUUUCCUUUCUGCUGUUUGCCACUAUUACCUGUUAUUGUUACUGCAACCAAGUAGGUUCGCAUAGCCAUCAGAAAGUCCAUUCCCGUUGUAGGGAUCUGACACGGGAACACCCAUGUUUACCCCUACCAGGGCCAACAUAGUUACAAGAGCUUUUUUUUUUGUUCUUCCUUUCACGUGAAAUAUUUUCAUACAUGUGGCAACCACAUACAUAUGUAUAAAAAUAGAUGUAGAUAUGUGAAUACGACAAAUUGAAUAUCCAUGACACAGUAACGCUACUUUAUAUAAAAAGGUGGAAAACCUAGUUAGCUAACAGCAGCCACAAAACCAUGUGUGUAAUAGCUUUAAGACAAAAAUGUCAACUAACCAGACAUUCAUACAUUCUCAACAACAGUAAUGCCAACACAGCCCCUUCUUUAUGGGUUUGUGUGAGCAGCUUUUGUAAGCGCCUGUGUGAGCAGAAAUUACAAUAGCAACUAGAAUAGAGAAGGCCAAAGAGAGAAGCAUGUGCUGAGAGGCAGCAUGUGAAAGUCUCCCAAGAACUGUUAAGUUCCAGUGAAAAAGGGCCCUUUUGAAUUUGCAACAAUGCAAAAACUCUGAACAGCAGCUGAAUAUGUACAUAGUCACCAGUGUGCAUACACGCAAUCAACACGCUGUAUCAUUCCAAUAGCAUCCAAGAACACGGUGGCUGCUAUGUGCAAGCCAAGACUACAAGAAUAUAUACAGACUUGAUGAAAGAAGGGACCCACUUAAGGACUUUCCAAAUACCUACCUAGAACUGUCAUGUCAGCACAACCUCCCACCUCUGAGCAAACAGCUGGGAUUGGCCUUUCAACUUUUGCUUCAACCAGGUUUACUGGAUGACCAGUGUGGGUUAAAGAAAUAAUUGUGCUGGGCAAAGCUAACUAAAGAAUUGAACAAAGAAAACCGACCACAAGCCCUACUCCACCUGCUGGAGACAAGCAAUUCAAGUCUGAAAACCACUAAGCAAGUCCCUUACAGUGCUGGAUGGUUAACAAAGCUUUUCUUCCGACCAUGUCCAGCGACCAGAGGGAGCUAUUCUCAAGUGCCUAGUCUAGCAUAGCAGAGCACUUUGGUGAGCUAGCAGGUUCUAGUUACAAACAUAAUGCUUACAUGAAGGCUUUAAUAAAAACAAAAAUGUAUUUAAAGUUUUGCAUUUUUCUUCUCAUAUUGUGAAAACAGCAGUGAUUACUCUGAAGUGUGUGGAACACACUAAAAAGAAGCGUGAUAUUGCACCCAAGACUGUACUGGCUCCUAAGAUGGCCAUACCACUGAGCUGGAAUCAGAAGAACUUUGGUAUUUUGCUGAUUACUGC